rnacentral:rRNA from 1 species
GGGUCUCCGCCCCUUAGUGCUGCAGCUAACGCAUUAAGCACUCCGMCUGGGGAGUACGACCGCAAGGUUGAAACUCARAGGAAUUGACGGGGRCCCGCACAAGCGGUGGAGCAUGUGGUUUAAUUCGAAGCAACGCGAAGAACCUUACCAAAUCUUGACAUCCUCUGACCCCUCUAGAGAUAGAGUUUUCCCCUUCGGGGGACAGAGUGACAGGUGGUGCAUGGUUGUCGUCAGCUCGUGUCGUGAGAUGUUGGGUUAAGUCCCGCAACGAGCGCAACCCUUAAGCUUAGUUGCCAUCAUUAAGUUGGGCACUCUAAGUUGACUGCCGGUGACAAACCGGAGGAAGGUGGGGAUGACGUCAAAUCAUCAUGCCCCUUAUGAUUUGGGCUACACACGUGCUACAAUGGACAAUACAAAGGGCAGCGAAACCGCGAGGUCAAGCAAAUCCCAUAAAGUUGUUCUCAGUUCGGAUUGUAGUCUGCAACUCGACUAUAUGAAGCUGGAAUCGCUAGUAAUCGUAGAUCAGCAUGUUGCGGUGAAUACGUUCCCGGGUCUUGUACACACCGCCCGUCACACCACGAGAGUUUGUAACACCUGAAGCCGGU